UGGUCAAGUUAUUAAGGGUGCAGGGCGGAUGCCUUGGCACUAGGAGCCGAUGAAGGACGUGAUAAGCUGCGAUAAGCUUCGGGGAGUUGCACGUAAACUUUGAUCCGAAGAUUUCCGAAUGAGGAAACUCACUUAGAGUAAUGUCUAAGUAUCAUUAAGUGAAUACAUAGCUUAAUGAGGGGAACUCAGGGAACUGAAACAUCUAAGUACCUGAAGGAAGAGAAAGAAAUUCGAUUCCGUAAGUAGCGGCGAGCGAACGCGGAUUAGCCAAAACCAAUAAAGUUUUCUUU
rnacentral:rRNA from 1 species